AGAUGAUGAAGGAGAAAAGUCAGCUUCAUGGGUAUCCAUACCUAUUUCCAUUAUCAUUGUGGUCAUUUUGAUUGUUAUUGGUUUUGUAUUUUGGAAAAAAAGACGGAAUAGGAGACAAGCUAGCGGCGAACCUGAAAUCCUUGAGUUAAGAAGUCCGCCAUAAUUAUUUGAUCUUCAGCGGCGACCAUGUGGUGACAGCAAUUUGAAUCUCCUUAAUAGGAAGAAGGAAAUGGUGUAAUAGGAAGAAGGAAAUGGUGAAUGUUAAUACGUUUCCGAAACCAAAAUGAUUUGCUUAUGAAUUUUUGUAAGUUUUGUUUGCUAAGAUAACCAAAAACAAUUAUCCCUAUCUAUAUCUUUUUG